rnacentral:misc_RNA from 1 species
UUUUUGGCUUUUUCUUUUUAAUUCAAAGGAGGCCUAACAAGCUAAAUAACAAUUGGUAAGCUACACAAAAGGAGGUAACCCUCUCUUUUAACAACUCUCACCAAUGUGUAUUUCAUUUCAAUAAAAUUGUAUUAACCAUGUCAUUCCAUGUCAUUUAAUUCUCAUUCCCAACCAUUUUGGAAUGUCAGUUUUAACAUCUUGGUAAAUUGUGGAACUUAGCAAAUUCCACUAUAUGGUCAGAUUAUAAAUGUCACAAAUUGCAGGUUUUAUCAAUGAUAGCACACAGGUAUUACCAAGUUAAACUCUAAUGCAUAUUAAGUGCACUAAUGGAGUAUUUUCAAGAAUAACAAAACAAAUAAGAGUAAGUAAAUCUUCACUGAAACCAUACAAAUCUCAGCUCAAUUUAACCAAGCAAAGUUCUACUAAAUGCAUUGUAACAUAGAGAACUAUGAUAUUUCAAUUGUUCAAAGUAAACUCAAGAGCACAUUAGUGCCAACCAAUAUCAUUUAGAUGAUAAUUGACACAAGACUAGCUGCUUUUUGUGACUCAUGACUGGUGGCGCAAGAUGCUUUUGGAAUUCACAUCUUCAUUUCAUAAAGCAGGUUUGGCCUACUUUUCAGAAGAGCCUCAAUUUGUUGCUUUUCUCAAAAGCAAGUAAGAAGGCAAUUUCGCAUCCCCCACAAAAAAUUUAAAAAUUAAAAUAAAAAGACAGGUGGAAUUACAAUGCCAAACAGAUCUGAAUAUUUUAAAGGCAUGCCCAUGAGUCAGCUUUUCUAGAGACAUUGGCCCAAAGCCAUGCUCCAUGUCUCACAGACAAGACUCCUUCAUUACACAAUUUUUGUCCAGAUCAUAGGUCAGUAAGCAUGUGAUUUGAGUGUUAGCUUUAGCUACAAUCUGCCAAAAGAUUUUUGAAUCUACGUUAAGGAGAUCCAAAAUGCAUUGAGAUGAAAUUGAUGCACUAACUACAAACAUUUUUUGAGCUAAUUAAGGAAAAUAAGAAACAGUGAAAAUAGAAUUGAAUAGAAAAUAUAAAAAGCCAAAAGUCAUAUAAGGAAGACACAGGGGGAGAUGCUGAUGAUCAUAAAGCAAACAAAACAAAUGUCAGCAGACAAUAAACCACCAUAUAACAGACACACCGCUUGUACUUCAACGCAUGUAUGUAGUUGUGGGUAUUACAAAACCCUGAGAAUGACAGAAACAUAUAUUUCAAAUAAAAGUGAAGCAAAUGGGAAGUUUGGAAAAACGGAAUCCAUGAAAGUUUCAUGUUCUAAAUUCUUUUAUAUUCACUUCAAUCAUUAUAAAUUAAAAAUAUAAAAGCAAGAAUAAGAUUAAAAGCAGCCACAGGUCUUGAGAAUACUGGCUGCAGUUCAUGGGGCAUCUCACAUUUUACAAAGAAACAAAUUCCAUUGAUUGAGUGGCCCAACAUAGUGAUGUAUCAAUUUGUCUUUUUAACAAAUAAGAUUGUUAGACAUCUCACAUGGAUCAAUUGCCUUGGCAGAAUCUCAGCCAAAGAUAACUACAGGAUCAGUGUGCAUUAAAUAAAGUUGCCUAUUAUCAAUCAACCAAUAUUACUGGCAAUUUGAGUGGCCAUGUAUGCAUUUCUCAAAAGGAGGUUCCACUCAAUUACAAAUGCGAUGUGUAAGGAUAAUCUUGCAAGUUCACCAGAGCCAAAAUCAUUUUUUUAUUGUUUCUCUGUUCUUAAUGCCCAUAAAUCCUACUGAUAUAUUAUAGGUAUGCCCAAUUCAUUUCUUACCCCCUCCAGGAAAUUUAAGAUGUCUAAUUCAUCUGAAGUAAUAGGCAGACAAGAAAUGAAACUCUGAAACAUAGGAGAAAGAAAUGAAUAAGAUGAUUCUUUAUAGUUCAGAGAUUUUGUAAAUGAACUAAAAAUGUCAUCCUCAACCAAAGAUGUUGAGGGUCUUCUCACAAUAAAGGGUGAUACCUCCCAGUCGCGUAACAUGAAAGUUUCAAAACUAUCCUCACUCAAACCAAAAAUCCUUCUUUUGACCAAAAGAGAUGGCAAGGGAGCAAAUUGAUUGACAUUACUUGAAAGCCUAAAAAUGCUUUCUGCGAGAUUGUUAAUCGUAAUAUUGCUUAUACAUAAUUUUCUCUCCGGAAUAAAUAUCAAAGGGUUACCAAGUAACAUUUGACUAUGUACUUUUGUCCACAGCCUUUUCAAAAAUGCCAAGAAAGUUUCAGACAGAUUCCUUGGGACCUUUUCCAAUCGCUCAAGGUUGCAGGUGUUAAUUAGAGAUAUUGCAGCAUGGAGAAUUGAUAGUAUAUGUGUAUCUUCUUUAAAUGCUAUCUUGACACAAGCUACACUUCUGUUGUCCUCAUUGCACAAAAAAAUCAAUGUUGAAGAAAACCGAACCUGAAGAAAUUUAAUCAUAAGCUUCUCUAGAGCAGAGAACUCCAAUAAACGCAGCGUUCCAACGGUAGUGGUGGACAAAUCCAAAAGAGCAUUACAUGCAGCCACUGAAACUUUCCUACUGGAACUCCCUAAAGCCAAGAUUAAAACCUUCACAAUUUCGCUAUCUAAAGCAAUUCGCUCAUUCAUUUCUAAGGACAAUAGCGAAGUGGCCCCCAAAAUCUUUGCGCUCCGACACGCAAUGUCUGGACACUUAGAACUGAGAAGGACAGGGAACAAAGCGAGGAUGGAAAGGGGAAUAGAAUUCAGGGAUUUUGAGAAGAGAAAGGCGUACAAUUGAUUUAGGUACGUUUUAAGAAAAGAUUGAGAAUUGGGUCCGUUUCCAUGAUUGCAGAGGGCUGCUAGCAUGAGCGCAAAGAUGGUGUCAGCGUUGUCCAUGACAAUGGAAGAAGUUUCAGAUUUGCUUAUCUUCCUUUUGCCGCACCUCUUCUUGCUCUUUUCUGCCUUCUCCAUUUCUUCUUCUGCCGCUCUUGCCCUCCUGAAUUGCAUAUCCUAAUUCCUUCAGAAACCGGUGAGACAGUUGAGCUCCAGACGAACAGGUGGAGCUCCUCGUUAGGUAUCGCACCACUUUCAUUCUUUCUAGGACCACCACUGGUAGAGCCUGAAAACAUGGAAUUGGGAGGCAGGUAACCAUUAAACAACUUACCCCUCAUAGUUCUCCCACCUCUUUUCUUCCAAUCUUCAACAUAUCCGCAUCAAAAUUUGAUGUUCUAGGCGUGGCUCCUUUCGCAGAUUGCAAAGAGUAAACAUCACUAAUAACUCCCUGGAAACUAUUUAUAUACCUGUGCUUGGGACUUGCGGCCUUGCUAGCAAGCAUGGUAUGAAAAUCUGUCUGAUUAAAACUUGAAGCCCUUGGUGUUGGCUCUCGGGAAGAUUGCACUGAAUAGAUCUCUACACCCGUAAGAUUCGAAGCUCUUGGGGUCAUGGACGUUAAUGAGUUUAGCCCGUGUGACUUGUUAAAGGAAGACAACACGGACGAGUUGCUAGAUCUCCUGACAACCACAUGGAGCUUACCAUCUUCGCCGAUCUCAGCAUCUGUUUGUAAUGGUUCUCGACCAUUUAGCGAAACGACAUCAGAAUCAACUCUGAAGGAGGUAAUGGAAGCGGCCGUCUCAGGGAAUUGUUCGGAGAUGAGUAACUUGGCUCCUCUAUAUUCGAACAUGUAGAGCAUAAGAGUAUACAAAAUUACACUUCGCAAAACCACAAUUUGAACCAUAAGACUCUCCGAGAAAUCUCCAUACAUGGCUUUCAAAAGAGGGAUUCCCAUGACUAGAGUGUUGGGAAGGGUGGAGAGAGAGAAGGAGUGAUCAUCCACUCAAGGCUGCCACGUUUGCUGAAAGCUUGCCAGAGAAAGAGAACAGCAAGAAUGCCUACUUUUUGGAGAGAAUCGGCCGCGAUGAAGCUAUAGUUCAUGGCGUAAGGGUUGUUGGAAGAAAUGAAAUGGAAAGAGAAUAAAGGAACAGCAAAAACUGCCACAGAACGGUUAACACCAGAGCAUUGAUCGAGGAUGAAGAUUUUCCACCAUCGGACUGAGCCAUAGGCUAGUAUCAUAGCAACAUAGAGAGGAACAAUCGCAGCGAGAACAUCGUAAAUAUCCCUACCUGUAAUCAUGGCUAAAGAAUAAUAAGAAUAAUAAGGGUGUUUUUGGAGAGGGAGAGAGAUAGAGGAGAUUGUGGGGGGCUGUCUUACAUCUCCACUGUGAAAAGGAGGCAAGGAUGAAGAAGCAGCAGUUAAUUUGCUCCUCUGGUUGAUAGAUUCGAUACUAUUUUAAUCUUCUGGA